AGCGAACGCUGGCGGCAGGCCUAACACAUGCAAGUCGAACGAACUCUUCGGAGUUAGUGGCGGACGGGUGAGUAACACGUGGGAACGUGCCUUUUGGUUCGGAAUAACUCAGGGAAACUUGUGCUAAUACCGAAUGUGCCCUUCGGGGGAAAGAUUUAUCGCCAUUAGAGCGGCCCGCGUCUGAUUAGCUAGUUGGUGAGGUAACGGCUCACCAAGGCGACGAUCAGUAGCUGGUCUGAGAGGAUGACCAGCCACACUGGGACUGAGACACGGCCCAGACUACUACGGGGGGGGAGAGGGGGGAAUCUUGGGAAAGGGGCGAAAACCUGACCCAGCCAGGCCGGGUGAAUGAAGAAGGUUUUAGGAUUUUAAAAUUCUUUCCCCGGGGAGGAUAAUGACGGAACCCGGAGAAGAAGCCCCGGCUAACUUCGU
rnacentral:rRNA from 1 species